rnacentral:tRNA from 2 species
UGGCCUAUGGUGUAAUUGGCAGCACGAAGGUUUCUGGUUCCUUUAGUCUUGGUUCGAGUCCAGGUAGGCCAGCCA